rnacentral:rRNA from 1 species
UGGGGAAUAUUGGACAAUGGGGGAAACCCUGAUCCAGCAAUGCCGCGUGAGUGAAGAAGGCCUUAGGGUUGUAAAGCUCUUUCGCCCGCGAAGAUAAUGACGGUAGCGGGAGAAGAAGCCCCGGCUAACUCCGUGCCAGCAGCCGCGGUAAUACGGAGGGGGCUAGCGUUGUUCGGAAUUACUGGGCGUAAAGCGUACGUAGGCGGAUGCGCAAGUUGGGGGUGAAAUCCCGGGGCUUAACCUCGGAAUUGCCCUCAAAACUGCACGGCUUGAGACCGAGAGAGGUAAGGGGAAUUCCUAGUGUAGAGGUGAAAUUCGUAGAUAUUAGGAAGAGCACCAGUGGCGAAGGCGCCUUACUGGCUCGGUACUGACGCUGAGGUACGAAAGCGUGGGGAGCAAACAG